rnacentral:rRNA from 1 species
AGAGUUUGAUCAUGGCUCAGGAUGAACGCUGGCGGCGUGCUUGACCCAUGCAAGUCGAACGGGCCGGUUUUCCCCAAGAGGCCUGGAAGGGGCGGCGCACGAGAAAUCGGGCAACGCCUUGGAAGGGUUUGGCGGGGAAGGUGCCGGUCAGUGGCGGACGGGUGAGUAACACGUAGGUAAUCUGCCCCAAAGUGGGGAAUAACUGUCCGAAAGGGCGGCUAAUUCCGCAUGUGGUUCGGCCGAGAGGCCGAAAGAAAGGGAGCAAUCCCGCUUUGGGAUGAGCCUGCGGCCGAUUAGCUAGUUGGCGGGGUAACGGCCCACCAAGGCGAUGAUCGGUAGCUGGUCUGAGAGGACGAUCAGCCACACUGGAACUGCGACACGGUCCAGACUCCUACGGGAGGCAGCAGGGGGGAAUAUUGGACAAUGGGGGGAACCCUGAUCCAGCAACGCCGCGUGAGCGAAGAAGGCCUUCGGGUCGUAAAGCUCUUUUCUGAGGGAAGAGGCAGGACGGUACCUCAGGAAUAAGUCUCGGCUAACUACGUGCCAGCAGCCGCGGUAAAACGUAGGAGGCGAGCGUUAUCCGGAUUUACUGGGCGUAAAGGGCAAGUAGGCGGUGGCAUAAGUUGGGCGUGACAUCUCCCGGCUCAACUGGGAGGGGUCGCUCAAAACUGGGUCACUUGAGGGCAGGAGAGGGAAGCGGAAUUCCUAGUGUAGCGGUGGAAUGCUCAGAUAUUAGGAAGAACACCAGUGGCGAAGGCGGCUUCCUGGCCUGCACCUGACGCUGAGAGGCGAAAGCUAGGGGAGCGAACGGGCUUAGAUACCCCGGUAGUCCUAGCUGUAAACUUUGGAUACUGGGUAUUGGGGGUGACAAUGCCCUCAGUGCCGAAGCCAACGCGUUAAGUAUCCCGCCUGGGGACUACGGCCGCAAGGUUAAAACUCAAAUGAAUUGACGG